CUGUGGUAAGUAGACUUCAAACGGACUUGACACAGGUCGAUAGCGGUGAAUUCCUCCAAGGGUCUUCCUGAAGCGCACCAGGCAGGGAGACCCAACAGCAGACAAACGGUCCUGGGGACACCCAGCAGCACUGCCAGAAUGUCCAGCGGACCCGUCCCCAGCAGUAUUCGCUGGAGAUACUUAUGGAAAAUUCACUCACAGGGAACAGACGAUGUAAACCCCUUUUCUAAACGCCGAUGCAGGUGGAAGGAUAAGAACUAGCAGAUGAGAGUGGAAAGCUCUCUCCAGGAGUCUGGAGGAUACACAGGACCCCAGGAGGGCCACAGCAUAUACAGAGGCGUGAGGUAAGAGCGGCCCAGACACAUUUUCUGCAGCUUCACAGUUUUUCCAAGGAAAAACCUGAACCAGAAAGCACAGCCUCCAGAGGACGUGGUGAUGGGGAGCCUACGUUGGAGCCUCCUUCGCGCUGUCUCUCCUGGUUGGGGGAAUGACAUCAUUGACAAGUCAUCUUCAAUUACGUCAGGAGUUUCAGGGACAGGAGAGAGAGCAACAGAAUUUAAAAGGGACUGAAAGGUUUCUGCUGGUGCAGCUCGGUAAUUACCACAUUUUCUGGCCUGAAACACUCAGAAUUGCCACCCUUUCUGAAGCCUCAGAUUCAAGGUGGAGUACAGCUGACCCAGACCCCAAGGAGAAGCAGAUGAAAAGGUGCAACUUGAGAGCAGAAGAAUAGAAAGGAAGGGUUUUGAAAGUUCCUCGAGUUCACAGUUCCUGUGUAAGACCAGAAGAAGGAAACAGCAACAUCUGGCUACCCGUGCAGCGUGAUCACAACGCAGGAGCACUCGGGAAAUGGUUAUUGCUUCCCGAGGCUGCUCACUGAGCUGGGGUCAUCGGUGGUCUUUUAUAGAAGACACACAGAGCAGGGAGUUCAUACGCUAACCGUUAACCAGAAACUUGCUUUGGAGCUAACCAGGAGCCCAGUCAGAUUUCCCCCUUUUAAUUCAAAUAUGAAGAACUAGUUACCUAGGAGGCAAAGGGAUGAUAAACACAACAUUCAGAACUGCGGUCAAAGAGGAUCAGACAGAGAUCUUCUAGAUGGAGAAGGGGCGGAAGAUUGAGGCCAUGACAGACAGUCUUCCAGCCCCUAAGUUAGGUGGUGAGUCACGGGAGUUUGUAUUAUCAUCAUUAGCUUUCAUUAUUUACAUUCUUUCGCAUGUGUCGGAUAUUUGUAAUAUAUUUUUAAAGGAAAAAAAUGUAAGUUGCCCGAAAAAGAGAUAUCUAACGCAUUACCUGGCAGUAUCCCUCCAUUUCUGAAUACCAUUAAGUUGUAUCUUCCUUUUUUACCCAUCUUUCAAGUUCUUCCACAACAUUUCAGCGCUUCAAAAAAAUAUUGUGCAGGUUAUAAUGGAAGAACAGGGAUUUAGAAUCACGGCCACUCAAGCCCAGGACCUGUGCCCUCUGAAACCCUCAGGACCUCAGGGAUUUAGAAUCACAGCCACUCAAGCCCAGGACCUGUGCCCUCUGAGUCCCUCACGGCCUUUCAGCUGCUGACUUUUAUCAUUGCAGGCCUUCUGCCCCACCUCACUGGUUUCUGGGCCGCCUUUUGUCAGCACUCACAGAAAGGUACCCUCAUCCUAUCAACUCUGGUUGGGAAAGUGGUAUGUCCCACGGUCAGACUGACCUCACAGAGGUCAUCAUUUCUGCACCAGAACACCACAACCUCUUUCCUGUGAGCAAGCGCCCUUCCUCCCGUGCUGACUGAGGCCCUGGAAGCUCAACGCGGGCUGGCCCAGACCGCUGCUCGAUGGGCUGGGAGAGCCCCGCUUUCAGGGGCUGAGCCGGGCUGAGCUUCUAGGACACGGCUUGCAGGCUCAAGUGAUCAUGCUGAAGGAAGCCUUGUUGAACCUGGGCAGGGACUGGCACUGGGGGGCUGGCCUGCACCAAGAACUUGCACAGGGACUGGCUGCCACAGUCCCUGCAGACUGACUCCAAUACGGACCCCAACCACCCCCCGUGUGUCUGCUGGCCGCUCCUGCAUCAGCAGAUGGAGUCCACUCCCUUCCCCUGAAUCUGAGCCUGCCCUGGAAUUGCCCUUAAUCAAUUGAACAUGGCAAUUGACUAUACUCCAAUAAAAAUUUUUAAAUAAAUAAGUUCAAAAAACAUGUAUUGUAAUAACCUAUAACAGAAAAGAAUGUGAAAAAGAAUAUAUAUGUAUAAUCUAAAUCACUUUGCUGUAUGCUUGAAACUAAUACAUUACAAAUCAAUUAUACUUCAAUAAAAAUUUAAAGAAAUAGAGUAUGGCAGAAGCAAACUGGUGACAGCUCCGGGUCUAACCUGCACAGUGCCUGGCACUUUCUCUCAUUCUCCUAGAAGCUCGGGCUUCCUCGGGGCCCAGAUCUCUGGCAGAGACGCC
ensembl:lncRNA